AGAAAAGCCAGGUGUAGUUGAUCAUCCGAAGAGAAAUCCAGAAGAUAAAAACUAUAAUUAUUUGGAUCCUAAGGGUAGUUCGCGGGAGGUUGUGAUCAUUUAUAUUUUCAGAAGUCUGCCCUUCAUCUGUCUGUUGGCGGCGUUCUUUUACCUAAACAGGAACAACAAACUAGUCUCAUCAUCAAGACCAGGUUCAUAUGAGGAGCUGUCUGUGAUUCAGAGCCCAUCGAGCAUCACUGUGAAUGAAGGAGAAUCUGAUCAAAUCAGCUGCUGCUGGAGUAAAACAAAAGAAGAAAACAGUGAUUUUAAAGUAGCUUGGUAUAAGGAUAAGAAAAGAAUACCAGUAGAAAAGCGGCUAUAUCAAACGUCCCCAAUGAAAAACUGCUCCUUUCUGAAAAUCACAAAUAUAGUUAAAAAUGACACUGGAGAUUAUGUUUGUAAAGUGAUUCAGGACAUACCAGUUCUGCUAGAAUAUGAAGGACAAAAAACUUACCUGAAUGUCUGUAAAGGUGAACACAGCACUGAGGCAACAACUCAAAGCAGUGCUAGUACAUCUACCCAAAAAACUCAAAUCAAUGGGACUACCGGCCCCCCUUCACCUCCCAUCCUACCUCUAUCUCUGGCUGCUGCCAUUGGCCUGCUGACCCUCUGCUUGGCCUUCAGCGUGUGCAAGAUGAGAAACUCCUG
ensembl:lncRNA